AUGCCUUAAACUUAUGAGUAAGGAAAAUAACAAUCCGGGGUGAUGCCCAGGGCCUCACUUCCAAUGUGAGAGGAAUUUUUGAGCGGGUACAGAUCGCCCC